GUGGGGGGGGAAUGUCAGCUGUCCCAAUGUACCUGUAAAAUGUCACAUGCGACCGAGUUCAAGCAGCCAUUAUUUUUAUUUAUUUCAAGCUAUAUAGAUGACAUUAAAAGAAAAUAUCAUUUUUUAAACAUGUUAUUAUAUGAACAACUCGAUUUUCAUACGGCCCACUGGACCAUGUAACUCUGGAAUCAUAAGUGCAAAAACAGACAUCCCUAAAGGACUCCUUUAAAAUAUCUUUAUGAUUCUUUUUUAAUAAUAUUCUUAAACAUUUUUAAUUUUUUUUUCAUAUUUAUUAACUUUUCAAUAUAGAAAAUAAGAUAACAUAAAAGGGAUAAAUUCAUUUAAUGGACCUCACUAAAAACUGCAUUUCUAGCCGAGUGACCUGGGCAAAGCCCCAGGUUUACCCUAAAGGCCUGUGAAUGGGCAGGAUAACCAUAUGUGUGCCAUUGCAAAGAUCCUAAAUCAAUGUAUAGAGCACUGGGGAAAAUAGGUUUUUUUUUUUUUGCUUAUCCCUAGUACACGUGGUACAGGCCAUGAUAAUCAUGGUGGGUAGUUAGCGACUGCUUUUACUGUAAGCGCACCACAUGUCUACACAUGUGAAAAGCAGUUUGACUUUGCACUUACAAAUGCCAGAGCCCCGUUCGGUUACUUGCACUCGCUGGUGGGGUUGGACUUUUGCAAGAAUCGGGGGCCAUUGGAGCAUUUUUUUUUUUAAACAGAAAAAAGUGCCCAAUGCGGGAAUCGAACCCGGGUCCUAGUGGUCGAAAACCAAACGGUUUACCCAGCCUUCCACCGACCAAAAGUCAAAAUAAUAAUAAAUAUUUUAUGAAUGAACAAAUAAUACAAAAAAUUGCUUUCAGGUGAGAAACUAUAGGCAUUGGUGAAAACUUUAAAAAAUUAUAUUGAAAAAAAAAAAGAAAACAAAUAUUAAAAGAAAAUUCAAUACAACACAACUAUAUAGCAAAUACAGCCAUUAUUUCUACCCGAGUGACCCGGCAACGCCCCGGGUUUAGCCUAAAAACAUGUGAAGCGCUAGAUAACCAUAUGUGAGACAUUGCAUAGAUCCUGAAUCAAUGUAUAGAGCACUGGGGAAAAUAGGUAAAUAAAGACCAAAAAUCAAAAUACUUAAUUAUAAAUAUUUUAUUAGUGAACAACUAAUACAAAAAAAUCCUUUCAGGUGAGAAACUAUGUUGUUGAUGUUUCUUAUCCCCUUGUGUAAAGAUUACACGAAUUCCAUGAUCUCAUGGAAUGGGGUAUAGGGGUGCAGCUUUCGUUGAUCAUGGCACCAUGAUCCAGGCACACUUUGGUGAAAGUCUGACUUUGCCUGUGAUUUGAGGCCAUUCCAAAUAUGGAAGCCUUUGUUUCUGACUCUAACAUGAGCACAGACGCAGCUCCUCCGUAUCCCUGGAGUGGAACCAUUGCUGAGGUCCAUCAACUGGGUCAGUUGAACUCAGGAUUUUUAAAGAGGGAGUGUCCCUCCUGGUUACAGCAUCAAGUCUACCAGAACAAGACUUGAUACAAUCGUGUAGAGAGUUUACUGUACCUCCCAACAAUGUCCACUGCACCACAGGCCAGUUACAGAGGGGUAAGCAUGGGAGGUGUGAGAAACUAUAGGCAUUGGUUGAUGAGGCACAAUUUGGAUUGUAGAUUAUAAACAAAAGGUAAUAAGACCAAAUCCAAAUAUAUAAAUAGUGUGUGACGUUUCGGUAACAGCGUUGUUACCAUCUUCAGACAAAAGUACUGAAUGGAAAAAAGGAGCCUACAGCACCCGGUGUUCCCAGGUGGUCACCCUCCCAAGUACUGACCGAGCCCGACGUUGCUUAACUUCGGUGAUCGGACGAGAACCGGUGUUUUCAACGUGGUAUGGCCGUAGGCCAUAGUACUUUUGUCUGAAGAUGGUAACAACGCUGUUACCGAAACGUCACACACUAUUUAUUUAUUUGGAUUUGGUCUUAUUACCUUUUGUUUAUAGACAUUGGUGAAACUUUAAACAAUUUUUUUGGAAAUGAAACAAAAAGUAAAAGAAAACAAAUCUUAAAAGAAAAUUAAAUACAACACAACAAUAAACCAAAUUAGACAACAUAAAAGGCAUACAUUCAUUUAUUUGAAAUGAAAAAAAAAAUUAAAAGAAAACAAAUCUGAAAAUAAAAUUGAAUACAACACAACUAUAUAGCAGAUAAGACAACAUAAAAAGGAAAAAUUCAUUUAAAGGACCUCAUUAAAAACUAUAUUUCUAGUUUUAUAAAUACGUGGGUUCAACUUUACCCGUAUGCUAUUCAAAGUUCGCACACGUGAAAAAGCCACAUAGAGCUGUCCAUGAGUAAACACGGGCUCAUGUAGCAAGAGACCCACUCUAGCAAAGGUUUGGCCUUGAGCCUUAUUAAUAGUCAUGGCAAAAGCCAACCUUAGUGGAAACUGACGCCUCUUCAGAAUGAAGGGAAGGUUGGUAUCUGAAGGAGCCAAAGAUAUUUUUGGCACCAAUACAGUUUGUCAAACUUUGGUCCCUGUCAGUAUUUGUGCUUCUAGGACAUGAGAGCGCAUGCGCUGGAUAACCAUACGUGUGCCAUUGCAGAGACCCUGCUUAGGAUUCAAAUUUCUAAGGAGCAUAACAAUAGCACCAAUCUUAAGGUUUAACCGGUGUGGAGGCAUUCCUGUGGGAGUAAGACUAUUAAGGAAUUCAGUAGGGUAGUUAUUUUGUUCCUCCACAUUCUCACACUCGACACUGUCAACACUGAGAAAACACUGACUCCUGUUUGGUAAGCGAUCCAAAACUUUUUCAUUAAUCUCUAACGAAUCUGUGUUUUUUGGCGUUAAAAUCACAGACUGGCUAAGGGCGGUAAUAUCACCAUAGGAAGAACCAAAUAUUUCCUGCACCAGGUCAACCCCAUGAAAGAUACAGCUUUCUGGAAGAGAAAUGAGGCCCUGUUGGUCUGUAGGUAGAUCACCAUCACCAACUUUAAGUAACCAUUGAGAGAAGCUCUGUGCAUCAAUACCUGCUCGCAUAUUCUGAGUAAGGCGCAAGAUCACAAACAAUGGCCAUAGCUUGCUUUGCUUAAUGCAAGCAGCAACAAUUUCAGCUCUUGAAGCUCGAGGUACCACAGGUAGCACUUGGCGAAAGUCACCUCCAAGAACAACAACCUUUCCGCCAAAAGCAAGGUCACAAUGCAUAAUGUCCUUUAGGAGACGAUCCACAAUUUCAAGUGCUCUGUAGUGGGCCAUAGGAGCCUCAUCCCAAAUAAUUAAGGAUGAUCUACGAAUAAGCUCAGCCUCAGAACUAUUGGCCGAGAUCGCAGCUACAGAAUUCUCAAGCAAGGGAAUCGGCAGCUUAAACCUGGAAUGGACAGUCUGGCCACCUGACAAAAGGGUAGCCGCUAUUCCAGUGGAGGCCAGCGGAAUGACAAUUUUUCCAACGGCUCUAACACAAUGAAUUAGGGUGUUAUAAACAUAAGUCUUGCCCGUACCACCAGGCCCAUCAAUAAAAAAGCAACGUGGAUUUACAUUGAGGGAAUCAACAAUUGUGUCAACAAUUGACUUUUGAUCUGGUGUAAGGGACCUAUACAUUUCUGUCCCAAUUUGCAGCUCUGCAUUAACAUCAAGGUGAUCCUCUCCUGAAUCAAGAAGUGGGGUUAGGGGUGCAGGAAGUCCAUAAUGGUGGCAACUGAGGCGAUUUUCUCUCAGCUGGAAUUCAAGUUCUCUGAGAGUCAUCUGUUCAGCAGCUGCGUCAGAUGUUGCACGAGAAAAGUCCUCACUAAGAUACCCCUUGUAUUUGGUCCACAGUGAUACAGGGUCGGUAGGAUUAUUGUAGAUGAGAAUUGUCGCAAAGAGCUGCCGCAGUUGACAAGGCAUUUGGAACAAAGCCGCCUCAGCUAAGCAUGCAUCCCAUUCAGAAUCAUCAGCCAAUAAUCCACGGCGCUGGGCAGCCUCUUUAAAAGUGGAGCAAACAAUAUCAUCCACAGUUCGCAAAUCUUCAAAACUCUGAGCACCUGCAACAUGUAAUAGUAGAAGCCGGAGGUGGUAACGCUCAGAAUCUUUAGGAUUCACUGAACACAUACGUCCAAUGCACAAAGCCCCACCCCGAACUCUAGCACUCCAUUGAUUCUGCCUGAAAACAUAAGCGGAAGGUAUGUCUCCAUAUAAAAGUGAUCUUGCGGAUACAUUAACACAAUUGAGCUGAAACCAGGCAGUCAGAGUUGUGCGUCUGCGUGAGGCAUUUUCAAGAGCCUGUUCUUCACUACCUUCAACAAAAUAGACAGAUUGAAAAUUAGGUAGAUGAACAGCUAAGCGGCAUAUGGUAUGCGAGUGAGCAUGCAAGCGAUAUUCAAACAUUCGCCACAUUGCCUCAGGAGCACUUACAUACCGAGCGUCAAGAAAGUUUUUGAUUUCAUCAUGUGCCCUGCUUUCCAUAUCUAAUUCUCCAACAGACACUUCCACCUCAGCCCUGUCGUGUCCCUUAUAUACAUACUUGAAAAGAUAUUUGACACUUUUCACAGAGGCACAGACCUCCACAUUAAUGUGAGCAUUGAACCUAACCAGCAGAUAGGGGUUAUAGGGAACAACCCAGCGGUUAUCCACCUCGUGAGUGCCCACAACUAAUGUCUGGCCGUCAUCUCGACGUCUGUAGCGAGGAUAGCCAUUAUUGUUAGCCUCAGUCAGCUGCAGGAAUGAUUUAGGGAAGUCUUUAGUACACUUGCCAUCAGACAUGCAUGGUGAGUGAAGAUUGAAGUUUCCACAAGGACCAUGGAUCAUAUGUUUACGAACCAUGUCAUACAGCUGAACCUGCAUAGUAGGGCUAGGAAUUUCUGCACAAACCAACAUGUCAAUGGCAUCCCUGUCUCUAGGCUUGUCUUCUUCUCUAAGCAUAAACAGCAUGUGGGCAUGCGGUAAACCGCGUUUUUGGAACUCAACAACAUGCACCCGAGCAAUGACCACUCCCAAUACAUGCUGACUAACAAUCUCGUGCAGUAAUUGUUGUAACUUGAGAUUGAAAACUCUAGCCACCAGAUCCGGUCUAUCAGAAGGAUUCUGGUUAGGAAGAAGAUUUUCAACAAUGUCAGUCCAACGUGGGUUACAGGUAAAUGUCACGAAUAGGUCAGGUCUUCCAAACUUUCUAACAAUGGCCAUUGCAUCCUGAUAGUUUUGUUGCAUGGCCCGGGAACUCCCAGGAAAGGAAGAUGGAAGAAUAAAAAUACGGCCUAUUCGCACACCCCGAGAAUGUUCCUGCUCAUGGAUAUAAUCCAGCAGACCUUGAUAUAACUCCACCCUAAGCAGGGACUGAUUUUGGCGAAUAUAGUUCAGGCGAUUGCCCUCUGUUUUAACAUAGGCAUCAACAACAUAUUGCUGAAAUAGUCUCCUGCCAUAGUGAAUGGGCGAAAAGCCAGGUCUGAUGGCCAACCUAUAACUAUAGAACUGAAGCAUGGUAACAUGGUUUCUAGUGCUUGUGCGCAUGUUUUCUUCAUGUAAGAUUCCUAUUGCCCAACCAGGAUCACCGGCAGGAAAUAAAAGAGGGUAUGUCAUUGGGUCACAGUUAGGAUUAAGUGGAGAAAUACGCACUAAACCACAAUCAUGCGGAAAAACAGCAAUAUCUCUGUUAGAAGGUACAUGGCCAUCUUGAUCAACAAAAAUGGCCGCAACUUCACUUACACUUGGGGCAUUAUAUCGGCGAAGAUCUCUACAAUGAUUUUGCCGGAUGAGCAUCUGAACCUGACACAUUUGCCGGUUCUCAAUGCGAGCCCGGUGUUCCUCAGCUAGUUCCACCUGGUGCAUCUGCCUAUAAGCAGAAGUAUACGGAUUCACACGCCUAAGCACAGAAUCCAAAAGAGUCAAUAUACCAGGAUGGCAUUCCAAAGGCCUAGAUGCUCGAGUCCUAUAAGCGAGUCUUCCACGGCCUCUGCGAGGCAUGAUACAGAAGCCGCUGAAAAAAAAAAGCUAAACUAAAAACCAAGUUGAGCAAAUACAUGUUAAAAUAAAUUUAAUGUAAAAGAUCUCAAUAUAAACAACAUAUUAAAUUGCACAGUGCAAAAAUGUAGAAAAUUGUAUGUAUCAUAUAACAUUUUAUCAUAUAACAAAUUAAGUAAUCAACAAUUGAUUAUACAAAUAAAUAAUUAGCCUCUUAUUGAGAAAAAUAAAGAUGCCAAAGACAUUAUGAAAGAUACUGCAAAAAAAGAAUUAUGAAAGAUACGGCAAAAAAGAAAACCAGACACAAAAAAUUGAGCAAAAUGUAAAAUUAAAAACUAUAACAAAGAACCCGCAAAUUAAUUUAAUCAGAAAUACAAAAAAGACGCUGAAAAAAAAAGGUAAAAUAAGAACCAAGCAGAGGAAAACUAUAAAACUGAAAGCCAGGACAGGCAUAAAAAGAAAAUCCCAAGUAAGUGAGGAAAAAAUUGAUGAAAAAAAAAAUGUGCAAAUAAUAUGUAUAUAAAAAAGCAAAGCGCAAUUCUAAACCCAAAUAUUUUUUUUAUGAGAAGAACAUCAACAUAUUGAAUGAUUAUGGCAGUCCAUAGCUUCCCUGACAAAAAUUCACCAAAAAAGUUAAAUAUUCCAAAAUAAGUAAGGCACUUUUGCAGCCCCCCUGACAAAAAUUCACUAAAAGAGUUAAGUAUCCAAAAAAAUAUUUUGGUAUAUAUAUUGCUAAAUGUGUAACAAACAUGUAUAUGAAAAAGCAAAGCUUAAUUCUAAGUUUUAAUAUUUUUUUCAAUAUACAGAAGAAAUAAGACACAAAAAUGGAGCUAAAUUCAAAUGAAAAACUAUAACAAACAGUUAUAAAAGAUAAUUAUUAUAGAAUAAAGUAAUAAUAAUUCAAUCUACAAAUAGAAAAAUGUAUAUAUUUAAAUGAAAAACUAAGUUUCAAUAUUUUUUUUAAUAUACAGAAGAAAUAAGACAAAAAUGGAGCUAAAUUCAAAUGAAAAACUAUAACAAACAGUUAUAAAAGAUAAUUUUAUAGAAUAAAGUAAUAAUUCAAUCUACAAAUCGAAAAAUGUAUAUAUUUAAAUGAAAAACUAUAACAAAGUACUUACAUAAUCAAAUUAAUCAGAUAUAUAUAUUAUUUCAAAACACUUUCUACGGAAUUUCAAAACAAAUGAUUGAUGAUGAUAAAUGCAAAAAAUCUACGAUUGUAAAAUAGAUUAAAUUAAAAAAUAAAAAUAACUGUUAACAUUAGGAAAAUAAAAACAGGCCUAUGACACGAAGAAAAAAAUAACGAAAAUUUUGGUAUAUAGAUUGUUAUGUGUAGUUCAGAAUCUUCGGAGGAGAUAGCUCAGGACUUUACAAUGGAAAACUCUGUUACGGUAUUAUCUAUAUAGAUACCAUUGCGUUGGUUAUUUUCCACACAACUCUAUUUAUAUAUUAAGUUUUUAGAAUAAAAAAACAAAUAUUUAGGGAAUUUUAAAAUAUUUUUUACAUUUGGUCAAUAGUGCGUUAAAAACAAAUAUUUUAGAAAAUAAGUUAUAUUAAAAAAAAAUAUCUUUGAUGCAUUCGAAAAGUUUAUAUUAAAGCUAAAUACCAACAAAAAAAAAAUUGACAUAUCCAAAUUAAACAAAAAACAAAAAAAGCUAAAUUGUGUUCCAUCAAUUUUUCCCGCCCAAACUUGAGCGAUUGGGAGUUGUCGUCUGAUGAGAUAUUUAUGAGAAUCAUUAUUGGAGAAAGUCCAAACGAAAAUUUUUUAAAGCAUUUGUUUGUCGUCUGCCAGCCCAAUGGAGAAAAUGAUGAUAGGUGGCUUUUAUCUCGCGUUACUCUGUGUUCUUCUUUUUUUCUUACUUGAGAUGGCUCUUUCUCUCUCUUAUCGAAUGGAAUGCAUUUGAAAAUUUUCAAACAACCAGACUGACAACGCUGGCAUGGAAUCGUUUGAUGGAUGGAGUAAAUUGGCGGGAAAACUAGAUAUCAGCCGAAAUAUGACUUUCUUCUGCUUUUUUUUUUUAACUCUAUAGCACUCGCGGUUUCUCUCUUUUUAGAAUAAUUUUACAUUACAUUAUAAAAUGUUUAUAUAUUCUUACAUCAUGAAUUGUUUAAUGAAAUUUAUUAACUGGUAUGUGUGUACAAUAGAACGAAAAUACGUAUAUUUUAAAAAAUAAUAAUAAAAUUGUGUAACAAUGAAUUGUUGGCAAUGUGUUUUUUUUUUUAUCUCUACAGACCUUACUGCAAUGAUAAAAGUUAUUGAAUGAAAGGACUUGGUUCAUCAGUGGUGAACCCUCUCAGCGGUUUCACCAAAUUAAUCUCCAGACAGCUCUACUAUUGUAUUGGAUUGGUUUUGUUAUAUAUCCUCUAUUUACUAUGGAAGACAGCUUGGGGAUGUUUAAGGAAUCUAUGGAUAUAACCUUAUGGGAUUUUCCUAAGUUAGUCUAUGGCUUUUUUUUUAAUAUCGAGGAAAAACCAACUAGGUACGCGUUUCGGGCUGUUGGCUCUGAUCAGCGUGAUGUAGGUGGUACGUUGAAGGCUUUCUUGUUCCAAAAUCACUUUAUUAGGUACCGCUCAACAAGAGCAACCUAUUCAUGAUAAAAUUGUGAAAAAGUUUUAAAAUUACAAAUAUUUUCUCACAAUGAGUUUAUUUUUAUUUAAAAAAAACGCUAGCUUUCAAGCGAUAAUCGCUCUUCAACGGGCUUACUAUAAUAUCGACUUUAUCCCACCAGAAAUACUUACAAAAACAAACGCGCGCAGCGUGGAUAUUUAUAACUGAAACAUUCAAUGAUCUAUCAACAUAUUGCAUAGACCGGUCACCAAUUCAACAUAACACAAACGAAAUGCCACUACAAAAAAACAUUAAGAACAAAUUUCAACGGUUACUCUUAGAAUCUCUCGUU